CAGAGGGGGAGAGCAAUCCAAGAGCCCUCCUGGGGCUGCUGCCUUCCCCAGCAGGGAACACUGGGAUGACUGGAGCCUUGCAAAGUGACGUUUUCCCUCUAAAUAGGAAGGUGGAGGCUUCUGAUGAGGAGGAAGAUUUUUCCAUUUCCAGACAUAUGCUGUAUUUCCAUUUCAACCACUGUCAACACACACUGGGGAAGAUCACACCUCAUUUUGGAAAAGCCAGUUCGAGCUGCUUCAGUCAUUUAAAUUAACGUUGUAUACGUGGAGGCAGUUCCUGUGAAUCCCACCUGGUUCUUUGUUCCCACAAUCUCAUUUUCCUCGUUGCUUCAACCACUCCAUACUCCAGUAACCAGUUUUUCAAACCUUCUAGCAGGUGCUAGUACAUCAUGUUCCCUCUCUCUGUCAUUUCUCAUUGUCAUCUCAUAUUGUUCAUCAAAGGAUGAGAGGGAACAUUUUCUGCAGGCUGGGGAAAUCAUCCAGUCUAACCCUGCCCCAGCUAACGUGUCACUUUUGGCCUCAGGAAAAUCAUAUCAUCAGGAGGUGACACAAGUGGCCUGGCAUUCUGAGUUUCUCAGUUUCUGAAUGCCUGUCACACUUUAAAAAGCUGGCCUUAGCUCAGCUGCCUCCCCCUUGUAAAUGGAGAUCCUGAAACCUCCCCGGAUCACAAGAGAGAGUUAAUAUUUGUUCAGUGCUUUCAGAAUGUUAAGUGCAACAAGAGUGCUGGGCCUUAUUACCAGGAAUAAUGGAUGUUUGCAACUCCAGCCUGCACUCUUCUGUGUCAUCAUUAUUUGGCUUCUAAUAAGUAACAGCUUUACCAGAAUACAGUCCCAGAAAACAUCUUUGGAAAAUGCUCUUUAUUUUCACUGUGAGCUUGAACACAGAUUUAAGAUCACAGAUCUGUUGGAGUUGAUGCAGUUAAACUUUACUGACUCUCUGGGAAUGAUUCAUCCCCGACUUGUUACAUCCAGCUUUUUGCUUUGUCAGUUAUACUUGAAUUUGUCUGAGAG